rnacentral:misc_RNA from 1 species
AGAUAAUACAACUGCCAAAAUCUUUUGUUGUUUCCUAUAUCCAUCGCCUGCACCCUCUUCAUUUCUUAUAAAACCAGGUAUAUCAGGAAGUCUAGACAGGUUUAUCUCCUCAGCUUGACCAUUCACCCUAAAACUCCAACCCAAUAUGUACUGAGAAGAAUUAGUCCCACUAGCGGAUGAGAAGCCAACAUACAUGAGCUCAUAGAAAUAAGGGGAGAGAUCUCUUUUCAAGGAUAAAAGU